rnacentral:rRNA from 1 species
UACAGAGGUCUCAAGCGUUGUUCGGAUUCAUUGGGCGUAAAGGGUGCGUAGGUGGCGCGCUAAGUCAGGUGUGAAAUCUCGGAGCUUAACUCCGAAACUGCAUUUGAUACUGGUGUGCUUGAGGACUGGAGAGGAGACUGGAAUUCACGGUGUAGCAGUGAAAUGCGUAGAUAUCGUGAGGAAGACCAGUGGCGAAGGCGGGUCUCUGGACAGUUCCUGACACUGAGGCACGAAGGCCAGGGGAGCAAAACGGGG